AACGAACGCUGGCGGCAGGCCUAACACAUGCAAGUCGAGCGAGGUAGCAAUACCUAGCGGCGGACGGGUGAGUAACGCGUGGGAACGUACCCUUUGCUACGGAAUAGCCCCGGGAAACUGGGAGUAAUACCGUAUGUGCCCUUCGGGGAAAGAUUUAUCGGCAAAGGAUCGGCCCGCGCUGGAUUAGGUAGUUGGUGGGGUAAUGGCCUACCAAGCCGACGAUCCAUAGCUGGUUUGAGAGGAUGAUCAGCCACACUGGGACUGAGACACGGCCCAGACUCCUACGGGAGGCAGCAGUGGGGAAUCUUAGACAAUGGGCGCAAGCCUGAUCUAGCCAUGCCGCGUGAGUGAUGAAGGCCUUAGGGUUGUAAAGCUCUUUCAGAUGGGAAGAUAAUGACGGUACCAUCAGAAGAAGCCCCGGCUAACUCCGUG
rnacentral:rRNA from 1 species